AUCCUCUGUGAUGUCACCAGUGUUGUAGUGACAACCAGUGCCCUAGUUUCUCUCAGUCUGAGUCUGGCGGUUACACCCUAAGACAUGUUUUCCCGUCUUCGCAAGAGUUUUGGGAGGGGGAACAUCGAUUGUGGAGAGACUAGAGUGAAGGAGUCUGGCCUUUCGUCUCAAAGUAAUGAUGGACAAAGACAGCACUUCUGGGGAAUGUGGAGUUCACUUGUGUCCUUCUACCUACAGAGGCUGGGAGAGAAACACCAUCCCCUGGAACUGAGCUAAGCAAGAAGCAGGCCGAGAAGGAAAAUAAGAGGUGGAUUUAAGAGCUGCAGCUCAUUACAGAGGAGCGAAACGACCUGAGAGAUCGCCUGAGGUUUCUGACAGAGAGAUCCAUGAAGAACAGGUAUGAAUCGCUCCAAACGCUCUUGUUCCAUUCCUGGGUGUUCAAUUUCACCUUCAUCUUAUCCUUUUAAGGUUUUGGGUUCUAGAAAGCUGUGUCUCUGUAACGACCCUUUUUUAAACCUCACCUCCCAUAUAGAGGAGAUUCAGAACCUGACCCUUCCUGAGGAGCAAGAUGGAAAAUGGACUCAUCUGCUUCCAUUUAUUGAAAAGCAGGAUUUGUGGUCUGAAUGAAGAAUUCGGGGAUAAAGUCAGGGAGAGUGAGUGCCCAGUGUGUAUUUGCAAAGCCCUUGACAGCUGGUGGCUUUGCAAGAUUGUAAUUGCAGUGAGUUUAUGGUGAGUCUCUGUACGUGCUAGGCAGGGGACUGAGUGCUGGAAGAUCCACACAGCAGCCUGAGGGGCCUGGUCCCAAACUGUUCAUCUCAAUGCUUGACUAGAAGGUCUCAGGCUCAGGCCUGUUUGUUCUUGUCUGUGUGUCUUGCCCUCUGAGACAGCAAUGGUGCAUGCAAUUUCUCCUGGUUGUCACAGUGCUCUCUGUUUCCAUAUUUCUCUUUCUCUUUCUCUGACUCUGUUUACAUUUCUCUUAUUUGUGGCUGUGUCUCAGUCUGUGUAUGUGCAUGUGCACACAUCCAAAUGCAUAGGUACAACAUUUAUAUGUUUAUAUUUCCCUCCAAAUUUGAGUCUAGGGGGUCUAUGUCUUGGCCUGAGUAUUUACCCAUGCUACACUUUCAUGGAGAUGUGAGUGCUUUGUUCUGGGAGCCCCACUGUCAACAGCACAGUUCUUUGACUGUGUGGUCACAUUUGUCUGUACAGUUGUAUCCAUUGGGCAGAUUAUUAUUUUGUGGCCAGAUGUGAUCUCAACUCCAUAAUUAUGUGUAAUGUCUGUCUCUACACUAUUAGUUAUUCAGAAUGAAUAAUUCCUGUUGUCAAAACAGGAAAAAUCAAAUCACAUUUUCUGGGUGUGUAGGGGAGUGCCCGGAAGAGCUGUGGCUGAGGCUUUUGAUAACAUAACUGUCUUGACUCCAGGUCCAGUCCUCUCUAUUGAACAAAGGGAGCCAGGAAACCCUCCAUCUGGAUGCUGAGCUUCCGGUGUCCUGGCCCCAGAAUAACAAGUUUCUGAAGCUGAAGAAGAUCCCAAUAUAUAGAAUUCAGAAGGUGUCCUUCCAGGGCUGGGGUAGUACAGGACCCACCCUGAGUUCAUAUAUUCCUAAAUGCUGAUGUUCAUUGUAUUCUAUCAUUUGGGGCCAGGCCACACUUCAGGCCAAAUCCAUAUUAUGAAGACCUGGAGAGAAUGGAGGAGGCGGUCAUGUCAAUUCUGCACAACUUAGAGAUGGAGAACACUGAGAUCCAUGAGAACAGCCAUAAGCUGAAAAAGGAGAUGACCUUCUCUAGGUCUCAGAAAGUGCAAGACUGCUGGAAUUGGACACGGACCAGGAAGAGGACUCCUGAAGAAUAAGUUGCUUCCUCAGGAGUCCCCUGCUGACAAACAUCCUGACUAUUAACAACAUGUUUUGGAUGAAUAUUCUUCCUCAUAGUUAAUUUGUCAUUGCUUAGAGACCUUAAAUUUAUAUAUCACUAAGCCAGCCUGACUGAUUGAGGUCUUACUCACUUUCUUCUUUAGAAAUCACCACUUGAGAGACAACUUGGGGGACCGCCUUUCAUUAUGCUAGAGGAGAAAGAGCAAUACAUCUGUGCUUCUAAAUGUUCGUUAAGAAUAUGAUGUUUAGAAAUAUUUUGUUAUGAUUUUCAUUGAAGUUUUCUAUUUGUUGUUUCAUAGUUAUAUGCUCUUGUUAUUAUUUUUCAUUUUUAAAAUACUUUUAAAUAUUUAUAUUAAUUCAUUUUAAUCCUGUUUUGUUGUAAAUUGUAUUUCUUAUCAAUAAAAAUUGAUUUUAAUCUCUU